UCCGUAGGUGAACCUGCGGAAGGAUCAUUAGUGAACGCCCUCACGGGCUUAUAACUAUUCCAAACUUCUGUGAACCGUGCCCUUCGGGGCUAUUUUACAAACAUGGUGUAAUGAACGUCAUAUAUCAUAACAAAACAAAACUUUCAACAACGGAUCUCUUGGCUCUCGCAUCGAUGAAGAACGCAGCGAAAUGCGAUAAGUAAUGUGAAUUGCAGAAUUCAGUGAAUCAUCGAAUCUUUGAACGCACCUUGCGCCCUCUGGUAUUCCGGAGGGCAUGCCUGUUUGAGUGUCAUGUAGACUCAAUCCCUCGGGUUUCCGAGGAGAUUGGACUUGGGUGUUGCCGCUCUGCCGGCUCGCCUUAAAAGACUUAGCGGGAUAGCACCGUAGUCGGCGUAAUAAGUUUCGUCGGUGAAGGUUGUGAUGACUGCUUACAAUCGCCCUCGGGCAAUUUUUGACUCUGACCUCAAAUCAGGUAGGACUACCCGCUGAACUUAAGCAUAUCAAUAAGCGGAGGAA
rnacentral:rRNA from 1 species